rnacentral:lncRNA from 7 species
GGCUGUUCUGAUUCUGCCACUGAGAGACAAAAUUGCCACUUAGACUCCAGCUGCAAAUGAACGAGACAAAAAGAGAAUGAAAUUGCUUCUAAUUUUGGACAGCAUGGUUUGUUUAUAUCCUAUAUGCCAAGCAGCUAUUUUAUUACUGUAAUUGCAACAGCUCCUAGAGCUCUCAUCUGCAAUACGUAAGGACCAUAUAAGCAGAAGAAAAAAGACAGCUCUGACCUAAAGAUCUCCUCUUCAUAAGAACCUCCAUUUAGAAGUCUGUUAGCUGCUGAUGAUUAUUCCCCACUUAAAAGCAAUCCUCCCUGGAGAAUGAUGGAAAAUAAACCAAUGUGAUAGUCCAGAAUGUUGGGUUUCAGUAUUCUCCAUGAAACAUUAGGAGCCUUUUCAAACAAGCAAUAUUAAUCACUACCCUAUCGUGAAAAAUCAGCUCAGACCUCAAUCCAGGCCAAAGAUGUAGGAAGGGUCCUCCAGAGAAUUGGCCGGAUGCUGCCUUGUUUUUAUCUCUCCCCAUUGCUGCUGACCAGUGUGCCCAGUAUCACCAGUGUGUGCUGCACCAGCAGCUCACAUUCCCUGACCUCGCCUGACAGUGUACCACAGACUGAUUACUUUCUGGACUCCACUGCUCUGCACUUUGACUGCAAGUGACUGAAUAAGUCAUUUGGUGGGAGAGAUGGCGAAGGCCAAGUAGAAGACAGUGGUUCGAAAAAGAAACCUGUUCCAAGCCAGAGAUUACUAUUUCCUGGAGUCUCAGCAUGACAGACCCACAACCUCAGGAGAAUUAACAUCACUGAGUGACUGCAUUCAAACACUACCAGGACGUGCAGCAAAUGCCUUGGCAUUUGGAAGUUAAGCAUUUAAGCAAACUUACCUCAAUUCAUACUGGAAGGCAACUACCUUUGUGCAGGCCUAGAGCAAUGCUGACUGCAAGGCUCAAUAUCUUAUCAGUAAAUAGCAGCAACACAGUGCUGGAUAAGAGCGCGCAUGGAGAUGAUGCCUUUGCUGGGAACACAGUGGGCAUACAGAAAGUAGAACAGACCCAGGAAGAAGGCAUUUUCAGCUUUCUUUUUAAUAGUGCCGAAGUUGUUCCUCUUACUAUAAAUUCCAAGAGGCCUCUGGUAGGCUGGUACUACAGCGAGAAGUGGAAAGAGAGGAAACUGAGAAAUUAACAUCAGGGAGUACACCAGGCUGCGUCCAAGAGGUGAGAAUUGUGAGACUGUCACUUGACUUGCAAACCCAAUGUUUCUAAAAAAUAAUUUGGAAGCACAGAUGUUUAACUCAGUGAAACAAAGGACUGCCAAAGGCUGAAAGAUCACCAAAAAGUUAGAAUAAAAGCUGCAAUUAUG